rnacentral:rRNA from 1 species
UUAUCGGAUUUAUUGGGUUUAAAGGGAGCGUAGGCGGACGCUUAAGUCAGUUGUGAAAGUUUGCGGCUCAACCGUAAAAUUGCAGUUGAUACUGGGUGUCUUGAGUACAGUAGAGGCAGGCGGAAUUCGUGGUGUAGCGGUGAAAUGCUUAGAUAUCACGAAGAACUCCGAUUGCGAAGGCAGCUUGCUGGACUGUAACUGACGCUGAUGCUCGAAAGUGUGGGUAUCAAACAGGAUUAGAUACCCUGGUAGUCCACACAGUAAACGAUGAAUACUCGCUGUUUGCGAUAUACAGUAAGCGGCCAAGCGAAAGCGUUAAGUAUUCCACCUGGGGAGUACGCCGGCAACGGUGAAACUCAAAGGAAUUGACGGGGGCCCGCACAAGCGGAGGAACAUGUGGUUUAAUUC